rnacentral:lncRNA from 1 species
CAUAUUUUAAUCACCACAGGGAAAAUCAUGUAGGACAACAGCAGAGAGCCAAAUCUGACCUAGAAGUUGAAAAGCUAAAGGUCAAAAAGGUUGUAAGUCCAUUACCACUAAGGAUAUUGGGAAAUUUUCAUUAGCAAAGGUUGGUCAGAUUCAUCUAGUCCCCAUGAGUGCCCUUCUUCUUCCCCGAUUGAGCCUUACACUUUGGUUAUUGGUUGAUGGCUGUGCUGUCUGGGCUGUGAGGCUGUAACCUGUCUCCAUGUCAAAGCAAAGCACACAUGGCCCACCUCUAAGAGUCCUUAAGAUGGAGAUAACAUUAUGAUGUCAAGGGGAAAGAGGGAGAUAGGACAUAUUUAUAAUAGGUGUAUAGAACACAGGGAUAUACAAUGAAAGAUAUUUACUUAUAUAUAUUUUAAGAUUACACACAAUACAUACCACGAGACGUGGAAUUCAUUGGUUGUGGCAAUUAAAGCAGUACCAGCCCUAAGCGCUUUGCAGGUAAAACAUCAAAUAGAGCUACUUCUAAGAGAAGCAGCAUCACCCCAAAAGUUAUCAAUUGUCCCAACUCACAGGACUUCAACCCGGGGCAAGAGAGUCAGGGAUAGCGAAUGGGGACAAGACACACAGAAAGAACAACCACAAGACAGGAUUCUGAUCAAGUGGCAAACUUUAUUUCUCGGGCUAGUUUAUAUAAUCAGUAGAGCAGGAUAUGGGCAGGGGUAGAAUGGGUUGUUUGUGCACCAGAUGGUAGUGUAGGCAGGAUAUUAGGAAGCCACAAAGAGGAUGUUUGGCAGGGUAAAGAGUUCAUGAGCAAGAGGUUCAGGAAGUUUUGCUUAGGUGACUAAGCCUGUGGGAAGAAGACUGGGUCAAGUUGUUUUCUUAUCUUAAGCUGAGUUUCUAAGGAGCUUCUAUGUAAAGGUUAAUAUACAACCAUGUGCCCAGUCAAGAACAGCCUAGGAUGUCUAGGUUCUCAUUCCCAGACCUGAGAUUUGACUCCCAACAAGAGACAGUGUGUCUCCUCAUGUAAUUUACUCAUUUCAAC